UUCCAAACAGACCCUCAAUUGUUUCUGUUCUUCCUCUGCCGUUUCUUUCAUCUACUAUCCAAGAUUCUGAUAUUCACCCAGUGUGAAGUUAGGAAUCUUCAGCUACUUAUACCAGAAUUUUUGCUACAGAUAUUCUUGGCAACAUAUAAACGACACUCCUCCAUCAUAUGCCUUAAAUGGAAGUAGAAUCCAAGAGUUCAUCAUCAUCGAUUAUCAGUUUUAGGCCAAUUUGUCUGGUGGGAAUAGAUAAGCGCCAUCACACAUAAUUCUGUACCAACAACUUCGACUCACCCUCAUCUCUAGCUAGUGUCCAGCACAUCAAAUUUCAGGGGAUUGAGGUUGAGGAUCACAGUCGUACACGUGGCUAGUGAGCUUCCAUUCCGACAACCUUUUGGUUUGAGUUCUAGCUAUCGACGUUAAUUAGAGCCAGCUGCGGUCAUGAUCGGAGACCCACGAGCUCGAGAAGUAUACGUUGGAAAUUUAGAUAGAAUUCAAGGUACAGAUAAUCGUUUUGGGAAUCCGCCAGCUUAGGAUUUCCACUCAGCUAUUUUGGAGUGCUCUAUUGUACCGGAGCCUAGAUUUUGGUACCGAUCCUCUUGAUGUAUAAAUAUGUUUAUUCAGGGGUACGGCAGGGGCUCUGUCCCGCCAUAUGAUAUUAUUGAUACUCUUAGAGGUUUGUAGAUAUAUGUGUGGGUUGUGUAUAAGUUUGUCUAGCUGAUUCUAUACGAUGUGCUAUGGAUAUUGACAUGUAAUGGCAGCCUUGUCGGCUUGUGCUUCCUUUCAUGAUAUAAUGGUGGUGACUCUUCCGGAGACAAAUGAUAUGGAUGUAUUAUAUGAAAAUAUUAUGAACCAUUGGAGUUCUUAUGUAAGUUAUCAUAUUGUUCGUGGUU